rnacentral:miRNA from 1 species
UUUUCAGUAUAAAUAUGUACCAAGUAUUAUGUGGACAUACUUACAUUAAAA